AUCGCUUCUCGGCCUUUUGGCUAAGAUCAAGUGUAGUAUCUGUUCUUAUCAGUUUAAUAAAAGAUUAACUAAAUAUCUAAAAAUAUCUAAAAAUAAU
rnacentral:snRNA from 1 species